rnacentral:rRNA from 1 species
GACGAACGUUGGCGGCGUGCCUAAUACAUGCAAGUCAACUGAAAUACCGGUAGCAAUACUGGUAUGGAGGUGGCGCACGGGUGAGUAACACGUAGGUAAUCUGCCUUCAGGUCUGACAUAACCCAUCGAAAGGUGAGCUAAUAUCAGAUGAUGCAGCGGCUUGACAUCAAGACAGUUGUUAAAGCUUCGGCGCCUGAAGAUGAGCCUGCGUCUGAUUAGCUAGUUGGCGGGGUAACGGCCCGCCAAGGCUGCGAUCAGUAGCUGGUCUGAGGAGGAUGAUCAGUCACACUGGAACUGAGACACGGUCCAGACUCCUACGGGAGGCAGCAGUAAGGAGUAUUGCUCAAUGGCCGAAAGGCUGAAGCAGCAACGCCGCGUGAGGGA